rnacentral:rRNA from 1 species
GAUGAACGCUGGCGGCGUGCCUAACACAUGCAAGUCGAGCGGACAGACGAGGAGCUUUUUCCCUUGACGUUAGCGGCUGACGGGUGGGUAACACGUGGAUCACCUACCUAUAUGACUGGGAUAAUUUCGUGAAGCCGGAGCUAAUACUGGAGAAUAUAUUGAACCGCAUGGUGCAAUAGUGAAAGAGGGUUUUGCGGUCUGUAAUAGAUGGAUACGCGCCGCAUUAGUUAGUUGGUAAGGUAACGACGUACCAAGGCCACGAUGCGUAGCCGACGUGAGAGAGUGAUCAGCAGCACUGGAACUGAGACACGGUCCAAACUCCUACGAGAGGCCGCAGAAGGGAAUAGUGCGCAAGAGGCGGAAGCCUGACAGAGAGACGCCGAGUGAGUGAUAGAAGACUUCGGAUCGGAAAGAUGUAUUAUUGGGGAAGAACAAAUGUCAACAUAACUAGUCCAGUGUUGACGGUACCUAAAGAAAAAGCAACGGCUAACUACGUG